UACGUAGGGUGCAAGCGUUAAUCGGAAUUACUGGGCGUAAAGCGUGCGCAGGCGGUGAUGUGAGACAGGUGUGAAAUCCCCGGGCUUAACCUGGGAACUGCAUUUGUGACUGCAUUGCUGGAGUGCGGCAGAGGGGGAUGGAAUUCCGCGUGUAGCAGUGAAAUGCGUAGAUAUGCGGAGGAACACCGAUGGCGAAGGCAAUCCCCUGGGCCUGCACUGACGCUCAUGCACGAAAGCGUGGGGAGCAAACAGG
rnacentral:rRNA from 1 species